UACGAAGGGGGCUAGCGUUGCUCGGAAUCACUGGGCGUAAAGCGCACGUAGGCGGCUUUUUAAGUCAGGGGUGAAAUCCUGGAGCUCAACUCCAGAACUGCCUUUGAUACUGAGAAGCUUGAGUCCGGGAGAGGUGAGUGGAACUGCGAGUGUAGAGGUGAAAUUCGUAGAUAUUCGCAAGAACACCAGUGGCGAAGGUGGCUCACUGGCCCGGUACUGACGCUGAGGUGCGAAAGCGUGGGGAGCAAACAGG
rnacentral:rRNA from 1 species